GGCGGCUCUGGCAUUCCCAGCAGACGGGACAGGUCCCAAGACUAUGACAGUCAGGAAGAAGCUGCGAAUGGAGUUGGAGUGAACGACUUUGUCGUAAAUCGAUUCUCUAAACGUCCAUCCAUCUAUAUAUGCAGGAGUUUACAAUCUUGAUGAAGAAAACGGUAUGGACUUUGGGAAUAUGAAUCUCAGAGCUGACAGCUUCAGUAGGGUAGGGCUUGUAGACAGCCUGCUGUUUACGGAUCUACCAUCAAGAGCAGAUGUGCACGUAUUCCGUGCUGUAUUUGAAAAUGAACCACGGUUACAACCGUGACAACUUUUCUGCAAUUGACAGAGGAAUAGAUGAUGUGUGCAGAAGGAUAGGGUUGACAAGUGUGUUAGUAACAACAAUAUAUGUGAUAAUUUGGGGGAACUGGAUUUAAUGUGCAUACAGUGCACCCAACGUAGCUUCAGUUACUGCUUCCUCUUCUGUGGGUUCUCUGGGGUUUCGUUGGAGUAGCUUUUUAAAAGCCAAAAAGAAACAGAAAACCCAGAUUGUACGAAAGUUUCACCACUAAAUAUCUCCUCUGACUCAUUACAAGUUUCUUUGCUCCUGAGAGUAAUGCAUGCAGUGAUCACCAAAGAAUUAACUUUGGCCGAUCCUUUUUUUUUUUUUUUUUAAUUCAUUGUAGAUUCUGAAGAGGUAAAAACUUCAGUGACAAGAGGUGAUAAAAAUACGGAGUUGAAAUUGCCCAACCGGAUCUAUCCAGUUUUGGAGAGCUAUCCUGGUGACUUACCAACAUUGACCAGCAACCUCCUGGUCCAUUAUUCCAGCUGACCGGUUAGCAUUUGAUGGGCUUUUGAGAUA
rnacentral:lncRNA from 1 species